rnacentral:rRNA from 1 species
CCCUAUGGAUCGGGAUAACUGUUCGAAAGGAUAGCUAAUACCGGAUAAGCAUAUUGACCUGGGUUGAUAUGGAAAUGAUUGGGACUUUUCGAAGCCAAUCGCCGUUGGAGUGGUUUGCGGCCCAUCAGCUAGUUGGCGAGGUAAAAGCUCACCAAGGCGAAGACGGGUAGCUGGUCUGAGAGGAUGAUCAGCCACACUGGAACUGAGACACGGUCCAG